UGAAUCCCGUUCAGACCAGAAAUAACCCCUAGAGAAAGUUACGAAACCCACCGUCAAGCGUGUCAGUGAUAUUUCUUCCACGCUCGAUCGAAACCGUAAAAAGCUGGCAGAGACUAUUUUCAUGGCGUUCUACUCUCUCCUUCCACCGUAUCAAAAAAUUGGAAGCGAACCUCAUUUACAGUAGUAACAUAGCUAUAGUUUUACCAUGUAUGGCUUCUUCUUCAGAGUUCGGACUAGAUUAAUAGAUAAGGAGAAAUUAAAGGCAUGAAUUAAGAAGUGUUGAUCUAGCUAAAAGUGAUGAGCGUCGUCGUCGUCGUCGUCGUCGUACGUUUUGCCACUUGUGUGGAGACGGUGCACCGGCCUGACUAAAAGCAGAAAGAAAUAUAUUAAACAACACAUGAAAGGAAGAAUAUAAUACUAGAUUUACGUAUUCCAUCCGUAAUUUUCACGCUUCACUGUUACUUGUUAUAAGAUUGUGAGCAACUCUUUCUGCGUUCCGGAGCUCGGGCAAACGAACGACUGAUGUUUCACCUUCAGUUCAGUUAAUUCAAAAUUGAUAUGCACAGAAAGAGAAAUUUCUGAAAAUGGAACUGCAUGCGCUCGUCUUCUUUCCUGUUUUUAUGCUUCUUUUAGUUCUCGGAAUCAUUAAAGCGAUUCUAAUUGGACCAAUUGUCUUUCUUGUGAUAAGUUUGGGGAAUUUAGCGGUUAUCGUCGGGUUAUGGCCAUUUCAUGUGGUCUGGACCUACUACUGUGUUGCGAAAAGUAAAAAUUUCGGUGGAUUCAUGAAAGGGUUCUUGUUUCAAACCCUGCCCAUUCCAUUACUACUAGUAUGGCCAUUGGUGGGAGUAAUUGGGAGCAUCUUUACGGGUUUAGGGUAUGGCUUCUUUUGGCCUUUAAUGGCGACAUUUGAAGUGAUAGUUGAGGGUGUUCCAAACAAAUUCAUCAGAUGCUUCACGGAUGGUACUUGGAGCUCUAUUUUGGUUGGAUGCACCAUUGUCCGUGACUUUUGGGAUUUUUGCUUUUAUUCCUACUUCUCGGUCAUGGAUGGAUUGCUGGAGCAGAAAACUACGGAGCCUAUAGAAAUCAAGGUUUCUCAGAUACCAGGAUGCACGUUGGCCGGAAUUUUGGGGGUGUUGAUAGAUUUUCCGGUCACAAGUUUUAUUGUGUUAUAUAAAGCUCCCGUCAUGCUAUUCAAAGGAUGGAGGCGAUUGGUCCGAGAUCUCUUUGGAAGAGCAGAUCCCUUCCUGAAAACUGCUUGGGUCCCCUUUGACGGGCUUUCGAUUAUUUUGUGGCCUGUUGCUGUUGGUCUCACCUUCUUGGCUGGAAUUAGUUCAAGCUUCUUUCUUGGCUUUUAUGCUGCUGUUGUUGCAUAUCAGGAAAAUUCUAUAAAGAAAGGAAUACUCUAUGCCAUUGCCGUAGUAUCUUUGUUUGAUGAGUACACCAAUGAUUUUCUUUACCUCCGAGAAGGAUCCUGCUUUCCAAGACCUAGAUAUCGCAAGGGAGUUUCUCCAACUCUACCAUUACUUCCUCUAAGGCGAUUGCCAGAAAAGACCGAGGCUCUUCGUGCCAAAAAAUCUCCAUUAAGGACAGCUUCAAUGAAAGUGAAGACACUUAAGGCUGUAGUGAUAUGGAAUAACUUCUUUGAGGCGUGUGAGAAUGUUGGGAAAGAGCUAAUCAGAGAUGGAGCCAUUGGGUUACAGGAUUUGGAGGAAUGGCAACUGUCCAAAAACAAGAUAAUUAACAUCGGCAUUCCUGCAUAUUCAUUUCUGCUGUGCUUUCUCCGCUCAAUCAAGAAUGGUUCCGAUGGCUUUCUCAUGCGUAAUAAUGUUGAACUUACAAAUAUAAAUAGGCCUGAGGGCAGGGUUUUUGACUGGUUCUUUGAGCCAAUGUCUCUUAUGAAAGAGCAGAUUAAGAAACUAAAUUUACGGGAGACUGAAGAGUUGUAUCUGCAGAAAUUGACUCUCUACUGUGGUGAUAUGCAAAGAUUAGCAGCUUGGGAGAAUGGUGGAUUUCCUCCAGAUCCAGAGGAAAAGAUUAGAGAAGCUGAGUUGGAGGAGAUAAGUAGAAGGCUGCAAGGCUUUUGUUUGAAACUCUCAAGGCUGCCAACCUUCCGACGCCGGUUUGAUGAAGUGGUGAAAGCUUUAGUGAAAGAAGCAAAGCAGAGAUCAAGUGGGUGUGACAGCGGUAGUAAUAUAAAAGAAGCUGUCUAGUCAUUUUCGACGCUGUGUCCCUGUAGGGUUGUCAGUGGGUCGGGUCUAUUCCGAUAGAUCCAAGCUGACCAAACCGGUUAUAUCGGUUUGGCUUACUUGAUUUUCGUCCCUACCAAUAAUUGGGUCAGGACCAAUUCUAGAUAGAGGUGGGACACUUUGAAUUAAAUUUCAGAUCUUACAGUGGGAGCUGAUGGUAAUUACUUUCUGGUCAAGGAGAUUGCAAGACCGUUAGCAACAUUGUAUAUAUCCUAUUGCGAUUGUCCAGGCAUUUGGAUUUGGAGCUGCUUCAGAAGAAGUCAUCGAAGUAAGUAAGAAGGUUGAGUUCUUAACAAAUUAGAACUCUUGUUGGUUGCAGACGCCCAUCAUUCCCUAAAUGAUCAUUAUCGAGUCCUCUACAAGCCACCAUCAAUACACCAGGUAAUAACUAAUCCAAAUAGGCCGCUUCACUUUUUCAAGAACGACUUCUGCACCCUUAAUUUACUGCUCAUACACUUUGUGGACUGUAGCCCAUCAUAUAGUUGAUCUUCGUAUAAUAAAUACACACCAACAGAAAGGACCCUUGAACAGGGUGUGGAUUUCUUCUCCUCCGGUCAUUUCAUGUAUGUAUGUAAAUUUUUUUUUUUUUUUUCAAGUGUUGGGACCCUUGUCCAAUGUAAAUGAGCAACGCCAUCCAAGUCCCCCUUUGAAUCUAUGUGCUGUAAUUGACAUAAACAUCAGUCUCACACGUAGAUAAUAGCCCAUCCUCAUUCUUUUUCAUUCCAUGUAUGCAUUUUACUGAUAAAAACCACUUAAUGAUGAAUUCAUUAUCCCCAAUUCCCUCAUUGCUUCAUCAUUGACCGACUUAGUCACCAACUCACAAUUGUAGGUGAAGUUUGAGGAGAGGUUAUGCAGCCCUCAUUGACAUGUAAGCUAACGAAACAGUAGGAUGAGCACCUACAGAUUUGGCAAAAUCUUGAACUCGCCUUUGCAUGAUACCCCAUCGGUUAGAAACAGCAUGGCCUGAAUCGCCUCUGUUUAGCAAUCCGUGGAACAAGGGCCUUUGCUCUCCGUGCUCUUCUUAGCCUCUCCUGAAAGGGAUAGGGUUUAUAGUUACUUUAACAUCUGAAUUGGUGUUGUAUUUGACAAUGUAAUCAAGGUCAACAUGCAGCAUGAGUGCAAGAGAGAGCUGAUUUUCUUAAGCCCGUGCGCUAAAACGUAUAUGAGUUUUUGGAGGGAUCCAAUUCACUGCAAAGAUCUCUUUGAUUUAAUGUAUUUUCCUCUCUUUUGCUUUUUUUUUUUUUUGCUA